UAAGUGACUAAGCGUACACGGUGGAUGCCUUGGCAGUCAGAGGCGAUGAAAGACGUAGUAACUUGCGAUAAGCCCAGAUUAGGUAGUAACAACCAUUUGAGUCUGGGAUUUCUGAAUGGGGAAACCCACUUACAUAAGUAAGUAUCAUUAACUGAAUACAUAGGUUAAUGAGGCGAACCGGGGGAACUGAAACAUCUAAGUACCCCGAGGAAAAGAAAUCAACCGAGAUUCCGAAAGUAGCGGCGAGCGAAAUUGGACUAGCCCUUAAGCUUUACACGCGUUAGACGAACGGUCUGGAAAGUCCGACGAUACAGGGUGAUAGUCCCGUAGUUGACGACGUGUGUUCAGUGAAAUCGAGUAGGGCGGGACACGUGAUAUCCUGUCUGAAUAUGGGGGGACCAUCCUCCAAGGCUAAAUACUACUGACUGACCGAUAGUGAACCAGUACCGUGAGGGAAAGGCGAAAAGAACCCCUGUGAGGGGAGUGAAAUAGAACCUGAAACCGUGUACGUACAAGCAGUAGGAGCAGGCUUUGUCCUGUGACUGCGUACCUUUUGUAUAAUGGGUCAGCGACUUAUAUUCAGUGGCAAGGUUAACCAUCUAGGGGAGCCGUAGGGAAACCGAGUCUUAACUGGGCGUUCAGUCUCUGGAUAUAGACCCGAAACCAGGUGAUCUAGCCAUGGGCAGGUUGAAGGUUGAGUAACAUCAACUGGAGGACCGAACUGACUAAUGUUGAAAAAUUAGCGGAUGACUUGUGGCUAGGGGUGAAAGGCCAAUCAAACCUGGAGAUAGCUGGUUCUCCCCGAAAGCUAUUUAGGUAGCGCCUCGGACGAAUACUACUGGGGGUAGAGCACUGUUAAGGCUAGGGGGUCAUCCCGACUUACCAACCCUUUGCAAACUCCGAAUACCAGUAAGUACUAUCCGGGAGACACACGGCGGGUGCUAACGUCCGUCGUGGAGAGGGAAACAACCCAGACCGCCAGCUAAGGUCCCAAAUUACUACUAAGUGGGAAACGAUGUGGGAAGGCUCAGACAGCCAGGAUGUUGGCUUAGAAGCAGCCAUCAUUUAAAGAAAGCGUAAUAGCUCACUGGUCGAGUCGGCCUGCGCGGAAGAUGUAACGGGGCUAAGUAGUAAACCGAAGCUGCGGCAAUAUACUUUUGUAUAUUGGGUAGGGGAGCGUUCUGUAAGCGGUUGAAGGUGUGUGGUAACGCAUGCUGGACGUAUCAGAAGUGCGAAUGCUGACAUGAGUAACGAUAAAGGGGGUGAAAAACCUCCUCGCCGGAAGACCAAGGGUUCCUGUCCAACGUUAAUCGGGGCAGGGUAAGUCGACCCCUAAGGCGAGGCCGAAAGGCGUAGUCGAUGGGAAACGGGUUAAUAUUCCCGUACUUCUUACAAUUGCGAUGGGGGGACGGAGAAGGCUAGGUGGGCCUGGCGACGGUUGUCCAGGUUCAAGUGCGUAGGCUUAAGAGUUAGGUAAAUCCGGCUCUUUUUAAGGCUGAGACACGACGUCGAGCACCUACGGGUGUGAAGUCAUUGAUGCCAUGCUUCCAGGAAAAGCCUCUAAGCUUCAGAUUGUAAGGAAUCGUACCCCAAACCGACACAGGUGGUCGGGUAGAGAAUACCAAGGCGCUUGAGAGAACUCGGGUGAAGGAACUAGGCAAAAUGGUACCGUAACUUCGGGAGAAGGUACGCUCUUGAUGGUGAAGUCCCUUGCGGAUGGAGCUGACGAGAGUCGCAGAUACCAGGUGGCUGCAACUGUUUAUUAAAAACACAGCACUGUGCAAAAUCGUAAGAUGACGUAUACGGUGUGACGCCUGCCCGGUGCCGGAAGGUUAAUUGAUGGGGUUAGACUUCGGUCGAAGCUCUUGAUCGAAGCCCCGGUAAACGGCGGCCGUAACUAUAACGGUCCUAAGGUAGCGAAAUUCCUUGUCGGGUAAGUUCCGACCUGCACGAAUGGCGUAAUGAUGGCCACGCUGUCUCCACCCGAGACUCAGUGAAAUUGAAAUCGCUGUGAAGAUGCAGUGUACCCGCGGCUAGACGGAAAGACCCCGUGAACCUUUACUACAGCUUGGCACUGAACAUUGACCCUACAUGUGUAGGAUAGGUGGGAGGCUUUGAAGCACGUACGCCAGUAUGUGUGGAGCCGUCCUUGAAAUACCACCCUUGUAGUGUUGAUGUUCUAACGUCGACCCCUAAUCGGGGUUGCGGACAGUGCCUGGUGGGUAGUUUGACUGGGGCGGUCUCCUCCCAAAGAGUAACGGAGGAGCACGAAGGUGGGCUAAUCACGGUUGGACAUCGUGAGGUUAGUGCAAUGGCAUAAGCCCGCUUGACUGCGAGAAUGACAAUUCGAGCAGGUGCGAAAGCAGGUCAUAGUGAUCCGGUGGUUCUGAAUGGAAGGGCCAUCGCUCAACGGAUAAAAGGUACUCCGGGGAUAACAGGCUGAUACCGCCCAAGAGUUCAUAUCGACGGCGGUGUUUGGCACCUCGAUGUCGGCUCAUCACAUCCUGGGGCUGAAGUCGGUCCCAAGGGUAUGGCUGUUCGCCAUUUAAAGUGGUACGCGAGCUGGGUUUAGAACGUCGUGAGACAGUUCGGUCCCUAUCUGCCGUGGGCGUUGGAAGAUUGAAGGGGGCUGCUCCUAGUACGAGAGGACCGGAGUGGACGAACCUCUGGUGUUCGGGUUGUGUCGCCAGACGCAUUGCCCGGUAGCUAAGUUCGGAAUCGAUAACCGCUGAAAGCAUCUAAGCGGGAAGCGAGCCCUGAGAUGAGUCUUCCCUGAUACUUUAAGUAUCCUAAAGGGUUGUCGGAGACUACGACGUUGAUAGGUCAGGUGUGUAAGUGCUGUGAGGCAUUGAGCUAACUGAUACUAAUUGCCCGUGAGGCUUAACCA
rnacentral:rRNA from 1 species